rnacentral:ncRNA from 1 species
CGACCUCAGAUCAGACGAGAUUACCCGCUAAAUUUAAGCAUAUCAAUAAGCGGUGGAAAAGAAACGAAAACGAAUUCUCCAAGUAGCGGCGAGCGAAACGAGAAAAGUCCAUACACCGAAGUCGGCGAGCAGUUGUGUUCGUCAACAGUGUGGUGUUAAAGGUGUCGUUGCAUGUGCUGAAAUCAGUUCGUAGGCUCCCUUGAUUGGGGCUUCAGAGCGGGUGCAGGACCCAUAACGAACGAUGUUUUGUGCAUGGUGUCGCGGCUCCUAAUCGAGUCGGGUUGCUUGAGACUGCAGCCCAAAGCGGGUGGUAAAUCUCACCCAAGACUAAAUAUUCGUACGAGACCGAUAGCGAACAAGUACCGCGAGGGAAAGUUGAAAAGAACUCUGAAGAGAGAGUUCAACAGGACGUGAAACCGUUGACAGGCAAACGGAUGGAGCUGACGGUGCAAUUUUGACCAAAAUCAGUCGUCGCUGGGUUCGUUGGCGAAUGAAUCUUUUGCAAACUUGUUUGUGUAGAUUAUCUUUCGAUUCGAAUCUACGCACGGUGCACUUUUGGUCGAUCAGCGUCACGAGCAACGUUCGCAAAUGUUUUGCUGCCGACAGUAAUGCUGUUUGUUGUUUUAAAAGCAACGAACAAUAAACGCGGCUUGUGGAAGAGGUAAUUGUGAUGAAAAGUUUUGCUUUUGUCUCAAUUGCCGUGCCAUUGGCCGCAUCUUCUCCGGAUGUAAUGUGUGGUGUUUGACC